UACGAAGGGGGCUAGCGUUGCUCGGAAUCACUGGGCGUAAAGGGUGCGUAGGCGGGUCUUAAGUCAGGGGUGAAAUCCUGGAGCUCAACUCCAGAACUGCCUUUGAUACUGAGGAUCUUGAGUAUGGGAGAGGUGAGUGGAACUGCGAGUGUAGAGGUGAAAUUCGUAGAUAUUCGCAAGAACACCAGUGGCGAAGGCGGCUCACUGGCCCAUUACUGACGCUGAGGCACGAAAGCGUGGGGAGCAAACAGGG
rnacentral:rRNA from 1 species